CCUACGGGAGGCAGCAGUGGGGAAUAUUGGGCAAUGGGCGCAAGCCUGACCCAGCAACGCCGCGUGAAGGAAGAAGGCUUUCGGGUUGUAAACUUCUUUUUACAGGGAAGAGUAGAAGACGGUACCUGUCGAAUAAGCCACGGCUAACUACGUGCCAGCAGCCGCGGUAAUACGUGGGGGGCAAGCGUUAUCCGGAUUUACUGGGUGUAAAGGGAGCGCAGACGGCAGUGCACGUCUGGAGUUAAAGGCGGGGGCCCAACCCCCGAACUGCUCUGUAAACUGUGAAGCUGGAGUGCAGGAGAGGUAAGCGGAAUGCCGAGUGUAGCGGUGAAAUGCGUAGAUAUUAGGAGGAACACCAGUGGCGAAGGCGGCUUACUGGACUGCAACUGACGUUGAGGCUCGAAAGCGUGGGGAGCAAACAGGAUUAGAUACCCUAGUAGUC
rnacentral:rRNA from 1 species